GAUGAAGAACGUAGCGAAAUGCGAUAAGUAAUGCGAAUUGCAGAAUUUCCGUGAGUCAUCGAAUCUUUGAACGCACAUUGCGCCCCUUGGUAUUCCGGGGGGCAUGCCUCUUCCAGCGUCAUUUCACCCCUCAAGCUCUGCUUGGUUUUGGGCCGCGCCGGCAACGGCGGGCCUCGAAAAUAGUGGCGACGCCAUCGUGCUCUCAGCGUAGUAAUUCUUCUCGCUGUUGGGUCCCGGUGGUCGUCCGCCAGCAACCCCCAACUUUCUUAAGUUUGACCUGGGAUGAGGUAGGGAUACCCGCUGAACUUAAGCAUAUCAAUAAGCGGAGGA
rnacentral:misc_RNA from 1 species